rfam:Salmo salar isolate Sally breed double haploid chromosome ssa19, whole genome shotgun sequence.
UCCCGUGUGGCUCAGUUGGUAGAGCAUGGUGUUUGCAACGCCAGGAUUGUGGGUUUGUUUCCCACGGGAG